UCUGAGGACUCCUGACCAGGCCAGGGUAGGCCUACUGCUUCCUCCCUUCCUUCCAUUCCAUAAUCUAAUGAGUCCCUGGUGGGUGCCAGCAAUAAUUUCUUAUCUAGAAGAGUCAGAAAUAAAAUCCCUCCUAUCACUAAGGAACAGUUACAGUGUGGGGGGUGGGUUGUAGUAGCCCCAGACAGUGGCCUAACUUGCUCUCUGCUCCCCAGGGUUUCUCCUGGACACCAGCAACAACUUCAGCUACAUUUUCUUCAUGUCAAGCUUCUUCCUCAUCUCAGCUGCCCUCUUCAUGGGUGGCAGCUUCUAUACCCUGCAGAAGAAGGAGUGGCGGGGCAGGGAAGCCAAGGCCAAAGGAGCCAUUUCAGAGGCCACCCCAGUAAAGGAUCCAACCCUGGAAGACAAGGACGAUCACAAGAAGCAUCUGUGUUCUGAGGUCAUGUAUGUGACCAGUGUCUGAGCUUCAAGGGUCACAUGUGUGACCAGCAUCUGAGCCUUCAGUGAACCUUUUCUCAACCCAGGAACAGGGCUUCCAGCUGCUUUGAAGGGUGCUGGUAUAGAAGAUAGCUCAGGAGGCCUGGAUUGAAGGUUGUCCAGGCUCUGCAAGUUGGGACUCAGCCAGGACCUGGAAACUUGGAGGCCAGUCUCUGAAGACACAAAGUUCCUUCCAGUCAGCAGAAACCAGGAAUGGGCUUUCCUCCUUGGGCCCAGAAGGUGGGUCUGAGCCCUGCUCCAUGCAUCAGGGCCAAUUAAGCUCAGUGUGCCGUGGGCCAUGAAUGACGUUCCUACAACCCAGCACACUGGACCUUCACGCCAAACCUUUAUACCUCCAACAUCAGCUCUGCUUAUCUUUCCAUGGCUUCCAGACAGUUCUGAAGAGCUCACCCUCCUGUCCAUCUUCACCCUCAGGGCAGCCAAGACUGUGGAUGUGGUUGCCCCCACACAACUGGCUGGGCUUGGCUGACUGGAGCCCUGGGACAGGCAGUAGUGGAGGACAGGGCUGAGGAGUGGGCCUAGAUGUAGGAUGGAGACAGAUUAAAAUUGGGUGGAGUGUCCAUUCUGGUACCUAUGUAGAGAGGAGAGGAAUCCCUGGCUUGGGUCCCAGAAUUGGGAAAGCCUGAGGGGUGCCUUGUCAUCCCAGUAGGUUACUCCAGGGCUUUCCUCCUCCUUUGGCCCACCCUAUAGCCUUGGUGGGAAAAGUGAUGCUGGGUCAGGGGAAAGCAGGACAUCUGGCUGACCCAGGGAGGCGAAAUCUCACCAGGCAGUGCACCAUUGUGAGAAAUAGGGCUGUUUGCAACAGAAGACUUCAUGUAACCUUCCCUGACUCCAGAGAACCCUUUUCUCCCUGGUGCUUAGAAGUGUCACUUCUGGGGCAAGUAGUAGGCUGGGCCAGCUGCCAGUCCAUCCCCACUUUGCUGUUGCCCUUCUCUGAAGUCAUCACCUAGGACUGGCUGUCAUCAGCCUAGGCUUGUCCCAGCAGGGUACCCCAGGGAAUAGGAAAACAGAGUUUGUUUGAAUUAUACACAAAAAUGUUCCCUGCAGUGGGUCAUAAACUCUGAACUAAUAAGGGCAGAGAACAGGUCUGGAGUAGUUUCCUCCCUCCCCUUUCCUUUCUCCCAGCUUGGCAGGGGCUGCUUGGGCUUAGGACCAUGUUUGUUGAUUCAGGCUCAACCAGGCUCCAGCAAGAAAACCUUAUCAAGAAAAAUUAUUUUGUUUUUAUGACCUGAUGCCAGCCUUCCUCCUCCACCUGUCUAUCUGGUUUGAAUGUCCAUCCUUGGGGCUGUGGUGUCCCAAGACUCAUCACAAGUGCCCUCUUAUGGCCAGAGAAGGUAGUGCAGAGAUAUGGCAAGGGACACCGGGCUGGGAUACAGGUUUGACUCAGCCACAAUUUACUGUGUGACUUUGGGCAAACUGUUUAUCUCUGGGCCUUGAAAAAAGGGGAUUAUCUUGGAUGAGCCAACAUCUCUUCCAAUCUGAAAAGUCUGAUUAUGUGAGUAUACUUAAGAUUCCUGUUGCCUUUCUGCCUCCCACCCAACUGAGCUUGGUCAAUAGCUGUAGCUUGUGUUCUGAAGGGAUACAUUUUUCCAUCUCAACUCAGUGAAGAAGAGAAGUGUGGCUGGUAGGUAGGUCCAUCAAGUUUUGAGAUGCUGUGUAUCUCCUAAAUGGUCCACUUCUUGAAAACAUAUAAGGAAAAAAAUAUAUCCAGGAACCUUCAGCAUAGGGAAUUCUGACCUCUCCUGUCUCCACACAAGAGUAGCAAAAAACCAAGAGGAGUGGAAUGGUCCAAUAAAUAAGAAAAUAUUAAUUAACCAUCUAUUGUGGGGCUGGGAAUAUAGCUCAGCUGGUAGAGUGCUUGCUUUGCAUCUUGCAUGCAUAAGGUCCUGGGUUCAAUACCCAGCGUCACACACACGCAAAAAAAAAAUCUAUUUGUGCCACAGACUGGGUAGAGGAAUAAGACCUGGUCGCUGUCAUCAGCCCAAAACCAAGGACUAAGAAUUCUUUCACGAGGAGGGUCCCUGAAGCCUUAGGAAGAGGACAAGACCAAAUGUGGGAGGCUGACUAGCACGUGACUGGGUCUGACUCCCCUGCUGAGCGGUGUGGCCAGCGGUGGUCACUGGUCAAGCUGCUGGAUAGCCUUGGUCUUCUAGGGUGACUGUGUCUCGUGCAUGAAUGUGCCUUCCUACAGCCCCAUGGGUGGAGCUAUGCUCACCUGUUCCUUUGUAAUAUUACCCCUUGCCCUGUUUAGGAUAGAAUGUUCCAUGGAAAUGCCUUUUGUAUGUCCCCUUCUCUUACUGUGCCCUUGGGUGUGGCCUUCCUAGAUGUGAGUAAACCUGCUGAUAGCAGACAUCAUGAAGCUAGACUCAGCCCCUUGAAACAUGACCCCUUGCCUUAUUUGAAUAGCUUCUCUUCAAUAAAAGGGGUCAGCACAUUCUCUCUCUCUCUUUCUGUAGACCCUUAAGGUCAGAGGAGCAGGCACAGCACACCCCCCCCAAAAAAAAAAAA
rnacentral:lncRNA from 1 species